UAAAAAUGAAGAUGGUCGAUCAAGGGUAGAAGAGUCAUUUUGCUUAGCCAUAAAAGUGCUUACCCGUCAAUAACUACGUUAUUGAGCCACCGCCUCUUUUCUUCUUCUUUUCUUACCUACUUUUCAGAUCUAUUCGCUCUUCUCAACUAUGGUGAUAAAUUUUCAGGUUAGCUACUCUUUUGAUUUUUGCCCAAAUCUUCCUAUUUGUUUUUGAAUCUGUAUGAACUUUUGUAGUUCUUUUUUAAAAUCUUGUAGUAUGAAUCUUCAUAGAAAAUAUUGGUGGACUUCUCAUUAUGGGUUAGAAAAACGAAUUUUCAACUAAAUCUGACCUCAUUUUCCCCUCAAUCUGUUAGAUUCUCCAUCCUUAUCAUAUUUGACUUAUAUUUUCGUCUUUUUUAAAAUAUAAAAUAAAAAGAAAUUUUCAUCGGAUUUUUUUUGGGAUUUAAAAGUAAGGCAUGAGGGAGAAAAACUCCCUUAAUUUGUUGGAUAUUCCAUUUGUUCAAGUGAAUGCAAUCUAAUCUUUAAUUGACUUUUAUGGGAGAACUGCAAUUUACUAUAAAGAGACCUAUAUGCUUUGGUUAUAAGAAAUUAUAGUGACAAUUAUUUUUGUUUCAGCACCGGCCUUCCCGAUAUUCAAUUUCUUAUGAGAGGCAUAUUCAUAGGGUAAUGAUUUUAUUUACUUCAAUAAUAUCACAUUAUUAGCUUAGGAUUAACGUUGUAUUUCGAAAGAUUAAAACACAUCCACUUUGUACAACCAAAGAUAAGCAAGAAAUAAUGCCUCUCUUCUUGAUUUCUCAGUUGGUAUCCAUUAACUUUAUUUGUUGCUGUAAAAUUUCGCCUUUCUCCAGCUUUUUGUUUGCGAAUGUCUAUUACUGAUGCUUUUGUUACUUUAUUUUGUUUCAUCUUAUUUACUUCAGCUUUUUGCUCUUUGUUGUGGUAGUUGUAUGUUCGUUUGUCUGUUCAGCACUUCGCAGCCCGAUAAAAUAUUACUCUUCUAUUGACUUACAUUUUUUCUUAGUUUCUUCGUAUUGAGAAGUGAAAACGAUUCUGUUUUAGCAUUUAUGUAUGUACAUUUGUGUGUAUGAUGUAUGGUUCUGUCAUGCUUAUAUAAUAGGGACUGCACGUCUUAUUUUAUCUAUUGAAAGACUAAAUAUCUAUUUUCUAUAAAUACUGAAGUGCAAUGAUUUGCAGAUGUUGUGACAAAGUCUAUUGAGGGACUUAUUGAGGCCUAUUCCAGAUUGCAAUAUCAGAAUUAUUUUUCUGAAGUGAUUUAUCUUUAGUUGCUUCGCUCUCCUUUUUCGGUUACAUAUGCAUGACAAGAUCGCAUUAAUAUUAGGUCUCCCAUUUGACCUAUGUCCCAUUUCUCUAUUUCAAUACUGAAAUUUUCUUUUCAUUAGUAGCACUAUCAACUGUGCAUUCAAAGCUCCAUAUAUAAUUUAAAAAUGGAUGAAGCUUGAUAGAUCAGUGUUUUUAUCUCUGUAGUGCGAGAUACAUUAUGCUAUGUUCUCAUACAUAGGUCAUACAUUCAUCUUAUUGCAUUUUAUGGGUUUUCUCAAUCUUAUUUAAUAUUGUAGAAGGAUGAUACCUUGAAAAACUUAACUUUUUAGGGACUGUUUCAACAUUUGAUUACUUCUAAAAGAUCAUCUUAUUAUGUUGGUAGUCAUUUUUAUGUGAAUUUUAAAGCUUUGAUUGGAAGAUUGUCCUAUAGACCUAUACUAAUCAGGUUUUUAUAUUUAGCUAUUUAAUCUCCUUUCAACUAUUUUGUAUUUUUUUUAUUGUUUUAUAUUACAUUGACGUUUAGUAUUCUGAUAUCUAGAGUCUCAUUUGCUGAAGAAAAGAGAAAAACACGCGUAGAGCCGAAAGCUCUGUGUUUACAAAAAAAAAAAGAGCUUGCUUGGACUUAGUGGCUCUUGUGCUCAAUAAAAUUUCCAGUAAUUGAUAACUUUUGCUGUUGAAAAUUUCUGGUAACCUUUUCUUUUCUUUUUAGAAGUAUAUUCUGUUGUAUUAGAUUUUUAUUAGGUUAAAACUUUAGAAAAUCCAUUAUGUUGGCAAGAAACAGAACUAAUUCAGGAAAAGAUUGGAGUGAAAAAGCUUGCAACUUUUCUGAAGCAUGUAUGUUUGUUUAAUUAUGUGUCGAGUUGUUAACCCAAAAAUGUUAUGAGUAAAAGUUGAAACAGUAACUUUAACAAGUUGUAGAAUAUUAAGUAUGUGGAGGGGAAAUGGGAAACAUUGAUAGACUUAUGGAACUCAAGAUGAGGUAAUAAUUUAUGUAAUAUCUUGGUGAACUACCCUGCUCCUUCUUUUACUAUGCAUAUCUAAGACCUCUAAGGGGUUAAAGGUUGUUAUAUAAUAGGGUUCAAGAAUUAGAACAAAAUAGAUUCUCAAAAUUCUGAUGCUUCAUUCGAGAAAAGGGACCAAAUACUUUGAAUUUGCUAUUGGAGCCACUCAAAAUAUAAACCAUUGUUAUCAUCAAAUUUUGAAUUAGGUAUCAAUUGCUGUAAUUAUAACUAAUGUGAACAUAUCAAAAAGGUAAGUGCUUUAAUUGAUGUUGUUACAAGAAAAUCCCAGAAUACCUGAUCAAUGAGGGUUGUAGAAAUGACCUUUGCCCGCUAGAGCCUACAAGGUGAAAAGGCAUUUGAUAGUAGUUUUAUUUCCUAAAGAACAUUGUUUAUGCGAACUGAUCGCUUGGAUACAAUAGUAUUUAUUGUGCUAACUCCAAUGUUAAUUUAUAGGCACCAAAUCAACUAAACCUCAUCUUGUAAAAUAAAGAUGUAUUAUCUCUAUUCAAGAAUGUUUAAGCUUAACCACAAAUUUGAAAACACUCAACUCUAGUAAAAAAUAAUAAAAUAAAAAGGGAGACACUGAGCUCUUGUAGGUCCAUUUCAGUUAGCUUUAGUUUGCAGUAAUUUAAAUUUCUUUACAAGCUACUACUUCAUAAGCACAACGUUGGACGCGUGCUCGGCACGCGCUUGAUCUCAUCUAGUCUUAUAUAGAAAAGCGAAGACGCUCGACCAUCUGAGGGCUUUUUUGACUUUUCACAACUUAUAACAGAUGUGUCCUUUAGAAGUGGCAUUUAUUGACUAACCACCUCAUCCAAUUCAUUAUCGGUCUAGAAUUUUCUCUUAGUCUACCUUAUUCCUUGUCUUCUCUGUUGGGUCUCACUCUCACAGUGUUCAGGUUAGUAUUUCACUACAAAUUACUCUCUUCUUUAUUCUUCCUUUUUAUUAUUUGAUGCUCUUGAGUAUAGCUUCUUUUUUCCCUUUUGUUUGUUAUGCAUAUUUCGUGUGUAUCUGUCAUUUUGCCUCAUUUACUUACGAAUGCAGGUUCCUUUUUAUUUUUCUUCUUUGGGAAUAUGUGCUUCUAUGAGUUUUAUGAUUUUGACUUAGGAUUUUACAUUUGUGAUUUUACCAUAGAGUCUAUUUUCUAAUUUGUGGUUGUGAUUUUUGAAUCUAAUUCCCUAUAGGUUUUUUCCCUAAUGAAUUGAAUGAUUAGGAGUUCUUGUCACCAACAGAUGUGAGUGGAAUUCAGAUUAUCUCAUUUCAAUUGACAGGUAUCGAAAAUUACUCUAUCUGGUAUCGUUCUAUGAGGGUAGCAUUGCUGGAUAGGAACAAAUUGGGGUUGGUUGAUGGGUCGUGUUAUAAAGAAAAAUUCCUAGAGGGUACUUGGAAUCAUUGGGAAAGGAUGAAUGCUAUUGUGCUUUCUUGGAUUAUAAAUUAUGAUGCUAGUGGUCUUCUUGGUGAUAUUAUGUAUGCGUCUAGUGCACAUGCUGUGUGGAAUGAUUUACUUGAAUGGUUUAACAAGGUAGAUGGGUCUAGAUUAUUUAAUUUGUAUAAAGAAAUUUCUACACUAAGUCAAGUAACAACUUUUGUCCCUGUGUACUUCUCACAACUCAAAUAUUUGUGGGACGCAUUUGAAGCUUUAGUGUAUACGGUCGAAACUGAUUUCUGCCUUUGUACGACUGAUCGAGAUGGGAACAUAAUGGACUGAAGAGAGUCUUCAUAAUAUCGAGAUGGGAUCAGAAGAAACAAACGAGCUUCGAGUUUUAUGGACAGGUCAAAUACCGAGCUCGAAGUCAUUAUCGAGCUCGAGUCCAAAUCGAACUAUGAUGAGAAGAGAUGGAAUCGAGAUUAAAAGGCCAUAGGCCAACCAAUACCGACCCUGGGUCAGUACUGGGCCCCGAGUCAAUAUCGAGCUCGGACCCACAUCGAGCGCUAAACCUAAAAAUCGACCGAUAGCAAGUCUGAUCAUGAUCGAGCCAAGAGACAACAGUCGUUACAACCGUACUAAGAGAGGGAAUUUCGGUGGAAACUAGGGAAAAACUGAUUUAUCAUGGGUUUCCCACUAUAUAUUUUUAAUUAUAUCCAAAAUAGGAUCCCUCCACUAUAAGAGGGAUGGCUAUUAUUCCUGUAAGGGGGGCAAUCAAGUCACUAAUACACUGUAACUCAAAUACUAUUGAUACAUUCCAAUAUUAAGAGAUUAUCCUUUUGAGCUUCAUACAUAAUUUUAUUUUGCUUGUUCAUAAAUCAUCUUCCUUUCAACUCGGUUUGUAUCUUUUUUUAUAGUCAAUAUUCGAUAUUUCUACUUAUUCUUACGAUUUGUGUCAAGUUAUAGCACGUACCCUUAGAACUACGUAUAAAUUCAACUCUAUCCGUUUUCCGAGUAAACAGUUUGGCACCCACCGUGGGGCUGAGGAUAAUAGUGGUUAUUUGAUACGAAUCUGCAAAACAUACCAUUUUACGCUUGUUGCUGAAAGUGUCUUUGAUUUCGGAUUAGCAACAACGAACUCUCAAUUAGUGGCCUUACUUAUCGACAACGAAGCUGGACUUCAAGGUGAGAAAAACAACUUGAUGCCCAGGUCUGAAAGGUCGCUUGUCGAUGCCAUUGGGGCCCGAGUUGAAGUACCAUUAGACGUUAAUUCGCAUGUGACUAUUGAGGCAAACCAACGUUCUGAACCUGAAAACAGCAUUCAUGGUGGUACUCGAUCUGCAGUUCGAGACAUCCAUAACGUUGAGAAAAAUGGAAUCAGCUUGUGUAUGAUUUUCAAAAUAUUGCAAGCUCAACAGGUAGUGAUAGCUCAGUUGUAGAGUCAAACCCAGGUACCGAGCAGACCGGAGCCCAGUCCACCCCGAGAAAUCACCCACAGAACGGGGCCAGCUGUAGUAAGGUCAAAUGAGUAAGAAUCGGGGACUAAUCCCGAAAUUGCUAAGAUACUCAAGGAACUCACAAAACGGAUCGAAGAAAAUGAUAAAAAGUUAAAACAUAUAACUCAAGGGUCGAUUAGAUCCUAGGGGCACCACCAGUAUUGAAAGGGUUGGAUUCCAAAACAUUUGUGCAAAAGACUUUUCACCCGAGUGCAUCUCCAAAACCGAUCCCCAAAAAAUUCUGCAUGCCCGAGAUUCCUAAAUAUAAUGGGACGACUGACCCCAACAAACACGUCACCUCUUACACGUGUUCCAUAAAGGGCAACGAUUUAGAAGAUGAUGAAAUCGAAUCCGUCUGUUGAAAAAAUUUUGAGAGACCCUUUCGAAGGGAGCAAUGAUUUGGUAUCACAACCCGCCACCAAAUUCCAUCGACUCAUUCGCCAUGUUAGAAGAUUCUUUCGUAAAGGCACAUGCAGGGGCCAUAAAGGUCGCAACAAGGAAAUCAGUCCUUUUCAAGGUAAGGCAAAAGGAUAAUGAAAUGCUGAGGGAGUUCGUGUACCGAUUUCAAAUAGAACGCAUGGAAUUGCCACCAGUCACAGAAGAUUGGGUCAUUCAAGCUUUCACCCGGUUGAACGAGCGGAGUUCGAUAGCAUCAUGUCAGUUGAAACAAAUUCUGAUCGAAUAUUCGGUCGUGACCUGGGCCGAAGUGCACAAUCUAUAUCAAUCGAAGAUCAAGGUCGAAGACGACCAACUAAGAUCCCCCUCUGGUUCAGUACAUCCAAGCAGAUCGGUAGUUAAGAACCAGAGGGAUAUAAACAUGGAGAAAAGGUUGAACAUAGACCAAUAUCAACCAUAUACCGCAGAUCGAAGGAACAAUAGUUCAGGACGCAAUUCCGUCCAGAACAAUCGAAGAAGUAAUCGAGGACAGAGUUCUCGGGGACUUAUGAACAAAAGUGGUUUUGAAAAGUAUGUCGAUCCCACAGAGGCACCUCGAUUAUUGGAAUAUAACUUUAGCAUCGAUGCAUCAGGCAUUGUAUCGGCAAUCAGAAGGAUCNNNNNNNNNNNNNNNNNNNNNNNNNGGUCACAAGACCGAGGAUUGUAGACAAUUAAGGGAGGAGGUAUCCCGUCUAUUCAACAAGGGCCACCUUUGAGAGUUCCUCAGUGAUUGAGACAAGAAUCAUUUCAUAGAAAGAGAUGCCAACAAGAAAAUUGAACAGGAGGAACCCAAACAUGUCAUUCAUAUGAUCGUCGGUGGGGUCGACAUUCCACAGAGACCUAUGUUCAAACACACUAAGGUAUCAACCACUAGGGAAAAAUGAACCCGAGAUUAUGUGCCCGAAGGCACUGUCAUUCAAUAACGAAGAAGCAGAAGGCAUUUUUCAGCCCCACUACAACGUUGUGGUUAUUUCUAUCUUAUUGAGUAAAGUUCAAGUUAAGCCUGUUUUAGUGGAUCCAGGUAGUUCGGCGAAUAUCAUCCGAUCGAGGGUCGUUGAGCAUCUUGGCCUACAUAAUCAAAUCGUACCCGCAGCUCGGGUUUUAAACGGCUUCAAUAUGGCCAGUGAAACAACUAAAGGGGAGAUUAUUCUACCGGUGAACGUGGCUGGAACAAUUCAAGACACCAAGUACCACCUAAUCGAGGAUGACAUGAGAUACAAUGGCCUGCUCGGAAGACCUUGGAUCCACAAUAUGACGGCAGUCCCUUCGACCCUCCACCAAGAGAUGAAAUUCUCGAUGUCGGACGGUGUAAAAUCAGUAUAUGGGGAACAGCAUGUUGCAAAGGAAAUGUUUGCGGUCGAUGAGGUAAAAGCACAAAGGGUGGUUCCGUGCCAUUUUUAUAUUAUUAGUUGCUUAUUUUAUUGUUGAUAAAUUAAAUGGCUACUAAGUGAUACUACUCUUGCUGAAAUUAUUAUAUCAUUCCCCUUUUGCGUGUUUCCUCCCAAUUUAUAAAUGGUUAUUGAUUGUAUUAUUGUUACUUUGUAUUUGUAUAUACUUGUACAUGUGGUUUACGUACGUGUCUUGUCAUAGCCUCGUCACUAUUUCGUCGAGGUUAGGCUCGACACUUACAAGUACAUGGGGUCGGUUGUACUGAUACUAUACUCUGUACUUCUUUUGCAGAUUUCGGAGUUGGUCCCAACGGCUUACUGUAGAAUUGCUCGGAUACAGUUACCAGUGGAGACUUGAGGUAUAACUGUACAGCGUUCGCAGUUCUGAAGUCUCCUUCUAUAUUAUCUCAGCUAUAUAUUAUAUUUCAAACAGCUUGAAUUUUAUUCAGACCUUUAUUUGUAUUAUUCUAGAAGCUCGUGCAGUUGUGACUCCAGUUCUAGGAUGGAACUUAGAUAUCGCGAUUAUUAUGGAUUAUUCACUAUAUUUCAGACUUUAUUUUUGCAUUUAUUUUCUUGUUAUUAAUUAAUUUAAAUUUUUUUGUUAAAAUAGCUAAUUAUAUUCUAACGUUGGCUUGCCUAGCAAGUAAAAUAUUAGGCGGCAUCACGGUCCCGAAGGUGAGAAUUUCGGGUCGUGACACUAUGUAUACCAG
rnacentral:lncRNA from 1 species